AGACAACUAGUAUAGUGGUCAGUACACUUCGUUGUGGCUCAUGUCCCCAGACAUUGAGACAUCCCCGAAGAAACAAACCCAGGUUCGAUUCCUGGGUUGCCCA